rnacentral:rRNA from 1 species
GUCCACGCCCUAAACGAUGAGUGCCAGGUGUCGGGAAGCUUAGCUUCUCGGCGCCGCAGCUAACGCCUUAAGCACUCCGCCUGGGGAGUACGGCCGCAAGGUUAAACCCAAAGUAAUUGACGGGGCCCGCACAAGCGGUGGAGCAUGUGGUUUAAUUCGACGCAACGCGCAGAACCUUACCAGGCCUUGACAUCCUACGCGACCUCGAGAGAUCGGGGGUUCCCUUCGGGACGUAGAUACAGGUGCUGCAUGGCUGUCGU